GGGUUGUGAGGUUAAGCGACUAAGCGUACACGGUGGAUGCCCUGGCAGUCAGAGGCGAUGAAGGACGUGCUAAUCUGCGAUAAGCGCCGGUAAGGUGAUAUGAACCGUUAUAACCGGCGAUUUCCGAAUGGGGAAACCCAGUGUGACUCGUCACACUAUCAUUAACUGAAUCCAUAGGUUAAUGAGGCGAACCGGGGGAACUGAAACAUCUAAGUACCCCGAGGAAAAGAAAUCAACCGAGAUUCCCCCAGUAGCGGCGAGCGAACGGGGAGGAGCCCAGAGCCUGAAUCAGCAUGUGUGUUAGUGGAAGCGUCUGGAAAGGCGCGCGAUACAGGGUGACAGCCCCGUACACAAAAGCGCAUGUGCUGUGAGCUCGAUGAGUAGGGCGGGACACGUGGUAUCCUGUCUGAAUAUGGGGGGACCAUCCUCCAAGGCUAAAUACUCCUGACUGACCGAUAGUGAACCAGUACCGUGAGGGAAAGGCGAAAAGAACCCCGGCGAGGGGAGUGAAAAAGAACCUGAAACCGUGUACGUACAAGCAGUGGGAGCCCCACCACUAAGCCAGUGGUGAACUCCACAUACGCAUCCUUUGCUGAGGAUACGGUUAACGGAGCGAAAGCGACGUUCAACCGCAAAAGAAGCAGAGGGGGCUUAGUGGUGGGGUGACUGCGUACCUUUUGUAUAAUGGGUCAGCGACUUAUAUUCUGUAGCAAGGUUAACCGAAUAGGGGAGCCGGAGGGAAACCGAGUCUUAAUUGGGCGUUAAGUUGCAGGGUAUAGACCCGAAACCCGGUGAUCUAGCCAUGGGCAGGUUGAAGGUUGGGUAACACUAACUGGAGGACCGAACCGACUAAUGUUGAAAAAUUAGCGGAUGACCUGUGGCUGGGGGUGAAAGGCCAAUCAAACCGGGAGAUAGCUGGUUCUCCCCGAAAGCUAUUUAGGUAGCGCCUCGUGAAUUCAUCUCCGGGGGUAGAGCACUGUUUCGGCUAGGGGGCCAUCCCGGCUUACCAACCCGAUGCAAACUGCGAAUACCGGAGAAUGUUAUCACGGGAGACACACGGCGGGUGCUAACGUCCGUCGUGAAGAGGGAAACAACCCAGACCGCCAGCUAAGGUCCCAAAGUCAUGGUUAAGUGGGAAACGAUGUGGGAAGGCCCAGACAGCCAGGAUGUUGGCUUAGAAGCAGCCAUCAUUUAAAGAAAGCGUAAUAGCUCACUGGUCGAGUCGGCCUGCGCGGAAGAUGUAACGGGGCUAAACCAUGCACCGAAGCUGCGGCAGCGACACUGUGUGUUGUUGGGUAGGGGAGCGUUCUGUAAGCCUGUGAAGGUGUGUCGUGAGGCAUGCUGGAGGUAUCAGAAGUGCGAAUGCUGACAUAAGUAACGAUAAAGCGGGUGAAAAGCCCGCUCGCCGGAAGACCAAGGGUUCCUGUCCAACGUUAAUCGGGGCAGGGUGAGUCGACCCCUAAGGCGAGGCCGAAAGGCGUAGUCGAUGGGAAACGGGUUAAUAUUCCCGUACUUGGUGUUACUGCGAAGGGGGGACGGAGAAGGCUAUGUUGGCCGGGCGACGGUUGUCCCGGUUUAAGCGUGUAGGUGUGUGUUCCAGGUAAAUCCGGUUCACUUUAACACUGAGGCGUGACGACGAGGCACUACGGUGCUGAAGCAACAAAUGCCCUGCUUCCAGGAAAAGCCUCUAAGCAUCAGGUAACAUCAAAUCGUACCCCAAACCGACACAGGUGGUCAGGUAGAGAAUACCAAGGCGCUUGAGAGAACUCGGGUGAAGGAACUAGGCAAAAUGGUGCCGUAACUUCGGGAGAAGGCACGCUGACACGUAGGUGAAGUGAUUUACUCAUGGAGCUGAAGUCAGUCGAAGAUACCAGCUGGCUGCAACUGUUUAUUAAAAACACAGCACUGUGCAAACAAGAAAGUGGACGUAUACGGUGUGUCGCCUGCCGGGUGCCGGAAGGUUAAUUGAUGGGGUCAGCGCAAGCGAAGCUCCUGAUCGAAGCCCCGGUAAACGGCGGCCGGAACUAUAACGGUCCUAAGGUAGCGAAAUUCCUUGUCGGGUAAGUUCCGACCUGCACGAAUGGCGUAAUGAUGGCCAGGCUGUCUCCACCCGAGACUCAGUGAAAUUGAACUCGCUGUGAAGAUGCAGUGUACCCGCGGCAAGACGGAAAGACCCCGUGAACCUUUACUAUAGCUUGACACUGAACAUUGAGCCUUGAUGUGUAGGAUAGGUGGGAGGCUUUGAAGUGUGGACGCCAGUCUGCAUGGAGCCGACCUUGAAAUACCACCCUUUAAUGUUUGAUGUUCUAACGUGGACCCGUUACCCGGGUUGCGGACAGUGUCUGGUGGGUAGUUUGACUGGGGCGGUCUCCUCCUAAAGAGUAACGGAGGAGCACGAAGGUUGGCUAAUCCUGGUCGGACAUCAGGAGGUUAGUGCAAUGGCAUAAGCCAGCUUGACUGCGAGCGUGACGGCGCGAGCAGGUGCGAAAGCAGGUCAUAGUGAUCCGGUGGUUCUGAAUGGAAGGGCCAUCGCUCAACGGAUAAAAGGUACUCCGGGGAUAACAGGCUGAUACCGCCCAAGAGUUCAUAUCGACGGCGGUGUUUGGCACCUCGAUGUCGGCUCAUCACAUCCUGGGGCUGAAGUAGGUCCCAAGGGUAUGGCUGUUCGCCAUUUAAAGUGGUACGCGAGCUGGGUUUAGAACGUCGUGAGACAGUUCGGUCCCUAUCUGCCGUGGGCGCUGGAGAACUGAGGGGGGCUGCUCCUAGUACGAGAGGACCGGAGUGGACGCAUCACUGGUGUUCGGGUUGUCAUGCCAAUGGCACUGCCCGGUAGCUAAAUGCGGAAGAGAUAAGUGCUGAAAGCAUCUAAGCACGAAACUUGCCCCGAGAUGAGUUCUCCCUGAGACUUAGAGUCUCCUGAAGGAACGUUGAAGACGACGACGUUGAUAGGCCGGGUGUGUAAGCGCAGCGAUGCGUUGAGCUAACCGGUACUAAUGAACCGUGAGGCUUAACCUUACAACGCCGAAG
rnacentral:rRNA from 1 species